rnacentral:tRNA from 1 species
AAAGAUUUAGUUUAAAAUUAAAACAUUAAUUUGUCAAAUUAAAAAAGUCCAUAAAUGAACAAUCUUUA